rnacentral:rRNA from 1 species
UACGUAGGGGGCAAGCGUUGUCCGGAAUUAUUGGGCGUAAAGAGCGCGUAGGCGGUCCGAUAAGUCGGCUGUGAAAGUCAGGGGCUCAACCCUUGGAAGCCGGCCGAUACUGUCGGACUAGAGUCCGGAAGAGGCGAGUGGAAUUCCCGGUGUAGCGGUGAAAUGCGCAGAUAUCGGGAGGAACACCAAUGGCGAAGGCAGCUCGCUGGGACGGUACUGACGCUGAGGCGCGAAAGCGUGGGGAGCAAACAGGG